rnacentral:rRNA from 1 species
CCAGCAGCCGCGGUAAUUCCAGCUCCAAUAGCGUAUAUUAAAGUUGUUGCAGUUAAAAAGCUCGUAGUCGGACUUCUGGUGGCGCGUUGCGGUCCGCCGCAAGGUGAGCACUGCGGCGCGCUGCCAUCCUCUUGAGGACCGUGUGGGCCCUUAACUGGGUCUGCGCGGGACUCAGGACCUUUACUUUGAAAAAAUUAGAGUGUUCAAAGCAGGCCUUCGCUUGAAUACAUUAGCAUGGAAUAAUGGAAUAGGACUUUGGUUCUAUUUUGUUGGUUUCUAGGACCGAAGUAAUGAUUAAUAGGGACAGUUGGGGGCAUUCGUAUUUAAUUGUCAGAGGUGAAAUU